rnacentral:tRNA from 1 species
GGUGAAGUGCGAGAGUGGUUUAAUCGAGCGGUCUUGAAAACCGCCGUACCCGGAAGGGUACCGUGGGUUCGAAUCCCACCUUCACCG